AUGCUGGGAGACACCCAGAACCCGCGUGCCUGAGACAGGACCCCAGCAGCUCCACCAUGGACUUGGUGCCAAGCUGCGUUUUUCUCCUGAUCAUUUUCCAAGGUGUCCAGUGUGAGGUGCAGCUGGUGGAGUCUGGGGGAGGCUUGGUGCAGCCUGGGGGGUCUCUGAGACUCUCCUGUGCAGCCUCUGGAUUCACCUUCAGUAGCUACUACAUGAACUGGGUCCACCAGGCUCCAGGGAAGGGGCUGGAGUGGGUCUCACGCAUUGCUAAUACAGGCAGUAGCACAUACUAUGCAGACUCUGUGAAGGGCCGCUUCACCAUCUCCAGAGACAACGCCAAGAACAUGCUGUACCUGCAAAUGAGCAGCCUGAGAACCGAGGACACGGCCCUGUAUUACUGUGCAAGAGAAGAGGGCCACUUUGACUACUGGGGCCAGGGCACCCUGGUCACCGUCUCCUCAGCCUCCACCACGACCCCGUCGGUCUUCCCGCUGUCCAAAUGUGGCACCACGUCUGGCUCCACGGUGUCUCUGGGCUGCCUGGUCUCUGGCUACUUCCCAGAGCCCGUGACUGUGUCCUGGAACUCGGGUGCCCUGACCAGCGGGGUGCACACCUUCCCAUCCGUCCUCCGCGCGGGUCUCUACUCCCUGAGCAGCAUGGUGACCGUGCCCACCAGCUCGUCCGGCCAGACCUUCACCUGUAACGUGGCCCACCCGGCCAGCAAUACCAAGGUGAUCACGACAGUGCCCGCAAUUAGAGAAGUCUGCACCACCGCAGCCCCCUGCACGUGCCCACCUUGUGAGACCCUGGGAGGGCCCUCGGUCUUCAUCUUCCCCCCGAAACCCAAGGACACCCUCAUGAUCUCCCGGACGCCAGAGGUCACGUGCCUGGUGGUGGACGUGGCCCCGGAAGACCUGGACGUCGAAUUCACCUGGUUCAUGGAUGACAAAGAGAUAAAGAAGGAGAAGAUGACAGCGCAGCAGCAGCAGUUCAACAGCACCUACCGCGUGGUCAACUCCCUGGCCAUCGCGCACCAGGACUGGCUGAAGGCCAAGAAGUUCAAGUGCAAGGUCAACAACAAUGCCAUCCCGGCCCCCAUCGAGAGGACCAUCUCCAAGGCCACAGGGCAGGUCCGAGGGCCGCAGGUGUACGUCCUGAGCCCUCACGCAGAUGAGAUGGCCAAGGACAAGGUCAGCGUGACCUGCCUGGUCAAGGACUUCUUCCCGCCGGACAUCAGUGUGGAGUGGCAGAGCAAUGGGGAGCCAGAGCCAGAGACCAAGUACUCCUCAACCCGGCCCCAGAAGGACCAGGAGGGCGCCUUCUUCCUGUACAGCAAGCUCUCCGUGGACAAGGCGCGGUGGCAGCAAGGCGAGCCCUUCACAUGCGAGGUUAUGCAUGAGGCCCUGCACAACCACUACACCCAGAAGACCAUCUCCCGGAGCUUGGAGCUGCUCCUGGACGAGAGCUGUGCCGAGGCCCAGGAUGGGGAGCUGGACGGGCUGUGGACCACCAUCUCCAUCUUCAUCACCCUCUUUCUGCUCAGCGUGUGCUACAGUGCCACCGUCACACUCUUUAAGGUGAAGUGGAUCUUCUCCUCGGUAGCCGACUUGAAGAAGACCAUUGCCCCGGACUACCGGAACAUGAUCGAACAAGGGGCUUAGCGGCCCUCCCAGCAGAGCCG